rnacentral:rRNA from 1 species
GGCGGACGGGUGAGUAAUGCAUAGGAAUCUGCCCGGUAGUGGGGGAUAACCUGGGGAAACCCAGGCUAAUACCGCAUACGUCCUACGGGAGAAAGGGGGCUUCGGCUCCCGCUAUUGGAUGAGCCUAUGUCGGAUUAGCUAGUUGGUGAGGUAAAGGCUCACCAAGGCAACGAUCCGUAGCUGGUCUGAGAGGAUGAUCAGCCACAUCGGGACUGAGACACGGCCCGAACUCCUACGGGAGGCAGCAGUGGGGAAUAUUGGACAAUGGGCGCAAGCCUGAUCCAGCCAUGCCGCGUGUGUGAAGAAGGCCCUCGGGUUGUAAAGCACUUUCAGCGAGGAAGAACGCCUAGUGGUUAAUACCCAUUAGGAAAGACAUCACUCGCAGAAGAAGCACCGGCUAACUCCGUGCCAGCAGCCGCGGUAAUACGGAGGGUGCAAGCGUUAAUCGGAAUUACUGGGCGUAAAGCGCGCGUAGGUGGCUUGAUAAGCCGGUUGUGAAAGCCCCGGGCUCAACCUGGGAACGGCAUCCGGAACUGUCAAGCUAGAGUGCAGGAGAGGAAGGUAGAAUUCCCGGUGUAGCGGUGAAAUGCGUAGAGAUCGGGAGGAAUACCAGUGGCGAAGGCGGCCUUCUGGACUGACACUGACACUGAGGUGCGAAAGCGUGGGUAGCAAACAGGAUUAGAUACCCUGGUAGUCCACGCCGUAAACGAUGUCGACCAGCCGUUGGGUGCCUAGCGCACUUUGUGGCGAAGUUAACGCGAUAAGUCGACCGCCUGGGGAGUACGGCCGCAAGGUUAAAACUCAAAUGAAUUGACGGGGGCCCGCACAAGCGGUGGAGCAUGUGGUUUAAUUCGAUGCAACGCGAAGAACCUUACCUACUCUUGACAUCCUGCGAACUUGUGAGAGAUCACUUGGUGCCUUCGGGAACGCAGAGACAGGUGCUGCAUGGCUGUCGUCAGCUCGUGUUGUGAAAUGUUGGGUUAAGUCCCGUAACGAGCGCAACCCUUGUCCUUAUUUGCCAGCACGUAAUGGUGGGAACUCUAAGGAGACUGCCGGUGACAAACCGGAGGAAGGUGGGGACGACGUCAAGUCAUCAUGGCCCUUACGAGUAGGGCUACACACGUGCUACAAUGGCCGGUACAAAGGGUUGCCAACUCGCGAGAGUGAGCUAAUCCCGAAAAGCCGGUCUCAGUCCGGAUCGGAGUCUGCAACUCGACUCCGUGAAGUCGGAAU